UACGGAGGGUGCAAGCGUUAUCCGGAUUCACUGGGUUUAAAGGGUGCGUAGGCGGUUUGGUAAGUCCGUGGUGAAAUCUCCGAGCUUAACUCGGAAACUGCCGUGGAUACUAUCAAUCUUGAAUAUCGUGGAGGUAAGCGGAAUAUGUCAUGUAGCGGUGAAAUGCUUAGAGAUGACAUAGAACACCAAUUGCGUAGGCAGCUUACUACACGAUCAUUGACGCUGAGGCACGAAAGCGUGGGGAGCAAACAGG
rnacentral:rRNA from 1 species